CCCGAGUGCUUGCACUCAAUUGGAAAGAGGAGUGGCGGACGGGUGAGUAACACGUGGGUAACCUACCCAUCAGAGGGGGAUAACACUUGGAAACAGGUGCUAAUACCGCAUAACAGUUUAUGCCGCAUGGCAUAAGAGUGAAAGGCGCUUUCGGGUGUCGCUGAUGGAUGGACCCGCGGUGCAUUAGCUAGUUGGUGAGGUAACGGCUCACCAAGGCCACGAUGCAUAGCCGACCUGAGAGGGUGAUCGGCCACACUGGGACUGAGACACGGCCCAGACUCCUACGGGAGGCAGCAGUAGGGAAUCUUCGGCAAUGGACGAAAGUCUGACCGAGCAACGCCGCGUGAGUGAAGAAGGUUUUCGGAUCGUAAAACUCUGUUGUUAGAGAAGAACAAGGACGUUAGUAACUGAACGUCCCCUGACGGUAUCUAACCAGAAAGCCACGGCUAACUACGUGCCAGCAGCCGCGGUAAUACGUAGGUGGCAAGCGUUGUCCGGAUUUAUUGGGCGUAAAGCGAGCGCAGGCGGUUUCUUAAGUCUGAUGUGAAAGCCCCCGGCUCAACCGGGGAGGGUCAUUG
rnacentral:rRNA from 1 species